UACGUAGGGUGCAAGCGUUAAUCGGAAUUACUGGGCGUAAAGCGUGCGCAGGCGGUUUUGUAAGUCUGUCGUCAAAGCCCCGGGCUCAACCUGGGAAUUGCGAUGGAGACUGCAAGGCUUGAAUCUGGCAGAGGGGGGUAGAAUUCCACGUGUAGCAGUGAAAUGCGUAGAGAUGUGGAGGAACACCGAUGGCGAAGGCAGCCCCCUGGGUCAAGAUUGACGCUCAUGCACGAAAGCGUGGGGAGCGAACAGG
rnacentral:rRNA from 1 species